ACGGCGGCCCGGUGAGGCCAAGGUCGAGCCGGAAGAGAAGGCCCGACCCCCCGAACCGGGCUACCCAGCACGGGUCCCGGUACCCACGCGUAGCACGUGCCGCUAUGAAGGCAGAAGUGUUGCGGGCCUGCGUAAUUGCGGUAAGCGGGCGACGAGUCGGCCCUUUGGGUUGGGGCCGCAGACGCAGCGCAUCGCGAGGACGCCGAGGCCAACCCACGCAACCCACCUGAGCACGCCUGGUAACCGGCGCCCCGUGCUAGCGGGCGGCGAAUCGAGCCAGUUUCGAAGCGCCGCCCGCUUCGUGUG
rnacentral:ncRNA from 1 species